rnacentral:tRNA from 1 species
AAAUUCAUAAGUUAAAAUUAAACUACUAACCUUCAAAGUUGGAAAUGUACAGCUGAAUUUG